rnacentral:lncRNA from 1 species
CAGGGUACCAAUGUGAUAGUAUCGCUGUCAUCCAUACUGCAUGAUGACAAAGAAUUUCCUAAUCCAGAGAAGUUUGACCCUGGUCACUUUCUAGAUGAGAGAGGUAACUUUAAGAAGAGUGACUACUUUAUGCCAUUCUCAGCAGGAAAGAGGAUAUGUGCAGGAGAAGCCCUGGCUCGCACGGAGCUGUUUUUGUUCUUCACCACCAUUUUACAGAAUUUUAACCUGAAGUCUCUGGUUGAUGUAAAAGACAUUGACACAACACCAGCUAUCAGUGGAUUUGGCCAUUUGCCCCCUUUUUACGAGGCUUGUUUUAUUCCUGUGCAAAGGGCAGACUCUCUAAGCUCUCAUCUGUAAUGUCUCUUCUGAGGGUCCUGUCUACUUCAUUCUUGGUACUAUAGUAGCUUUAACUCACAUAUCCCCAUUUCCUUCGGAUCCAGUGAACAUCAAACCUCAUUGAGUUGAGUUCCCUGAGUCAAUAUAUAGUUCUAUUCCUGUUCCCUAUAUCUUGUGACGUUCCCUAUAUCUUGUGACAUUCCCAUGCAGU